UCCCUGGUGGCUCAGACGGUAAAGAAUCUGCCUGCAAUGCAGGAGACCCAGGUUUGAUCCCUGGGUAGGGAA
rnacentral:tRNA from 1 species